rnacentral:rRNA from 1 species
AUUAAUAUAAUUGUUUUUUUUUAGGAUUUUAAUUAAUUUAUUAAUUAAAUAAUUUAUUGUCAUAGUAUAUUUAAUAGAAAUGAUUUAUUAAACUAUAGUUUAUUACUAGUAUUGUAAAAGAAAUUAAAUUAAAUAUUUUUAAGUUAAUUUGAUUAAUUGUAUCUUGUGUAUCAAAGUUUAUUAAAAUGAAAUUAUUUAUCUUUUUUUUCUUGAAUUAUAAAGAUUUAAUUAAAUAUAUUAUUUAUUAUUUUAUAAAUAUUAAUAAUGUUUCUUUGGUAAUGAAAUGUUAAUCGUUUUUUAAUAUAUCUAGUUUUUUAAUAAAUAAAUUUAGUUUAAAUAAUAUAAAUUCAUAUUUAUUGAAUAUAUAUAUAUAAGAUUAUAUGAAUUUAUAUUAUUUAUUUUUAAGGGGAUAAGCUCUUAAAAAUAUUAUUAUAAUUAUUAAAAUGUUUAAAAAUUUUGUGAAUUUAUAAUUUGUUAUUGUUUAGAGGAUGUUAAAAUUAAAUUUUAAUUUUUGUGGAAAUAAUUUUAAUUUAAUUUAAUUUUUUUAUUAAGAAGUUUAUUAAAAUUUGUGAAGUUUAGUUUUUAUGAUUUAAUUAGUAAAUUAUAUAAAUAAUAUAAAGUUUUGUUAUGUUAUUAUGAAGAAUUCAGCAAAAUUUUUGUUCGCCUGUUUAGUAAAAACAUGGUUUCUUGAUUUAUUUAUGAAAUUUAACCUGCCCAUUGAAUUUAAUUUAAAAGGCCGCAGUAUAUUGACUGUGCAAAGGUAGCAUAAUCAUUAGUUUUUUAAUUAAAGGCUUGUAUGAAUGGUUGGACGAAAUAAAAACUGUUUUAUAAUAAUUAUUUGAAUUUAGAUUUUGAGUUAUAAUACUUAAAUAUAAUUAAGGGACAAGAAGACCCUAUAGAAUUUAAUAGAUUUAAUGUGAAGUAAUGUUAAAAAUAAAUUAUAAUUUAUUUUUAAGUAAUUUAUUUAAUUGGGGUGAUUAAAAGAUAAAAUAAACUCUUUUUUUAUUUUAAUAAUAUUUUUAAUUUUAAUAUCCAUUAUUUUGUGAAUAAAAGAUUAAAUUACCUUAGGGAUAACAGCAUAAUUUUUUUUUAAAAGUUCAUAUUGAAAAAAUAGAUUAUGACCUCGAUGUUGGAUUAAGAUAAAUUUUUGGUGAAGAAGUUAAAUUUGAAUUAGGUCUGUUCGACCUUUAAAAUCUUACAUGAUCUGAGUUUAAACCGGUGUAAACCAGGUURGUUUCUAUCUUUAAUUAAUUUAAAAUAUUUUAGUACGAGAGGACCAUAUAUUUAAAAUAAUUUUUUAUUGAUUGACUUUUAGUAAUU